ensembl:lncRNA
CAGCUGAGRGCGGUAGAUCACCUGCUGGGCGUCAACAAAGGUGGCGAUUCAACAUGUAGAAUGGUCGGGAAAUGAAUAGAAAAUGGAGGAUGAUGUUCGGUGGUCAGAGGCGUUAAGAAUGGUCACCUGCUGCUAAUUACCUCUGGUCAGCGUGGUCUGUUUUCGCCUUGACUGACUGACCCCCUCUGGUCUAGACUGGCCAUCCAUCCUUGACUGACCCCCUCUGGUCUAGACUGGCCAUCCCAUUAUUGACUGACCCCCCUCUGGUCUAGACUGGCCAUCCCCAUCCUGACUGACUCCCUCUGGUCUAGACGGGCCACCAUCCUUGACUGACUCCCCCUGGUCUAGACUGGCCAUCCAUCUUGACUGACCCCCUCUGGUCUAGACUGGCCAUCCAUCCUUGACUGAUGCCCCUCUGGUCUAGACGGGCCAUCCAUCCUUGACUGACUGACCCCUCUGGUCUAGAUGGCCAUCCUAUCCUUGACUGACUCCCUCUGGUCUAGACUGACCCUAAUCCUCCCAAGUGUCAUUCAUCACUCUGCUUUUGGAAAGCCCUGGAAAUGAAGGCCAGUGUCCGACAGACAGAGUGUGUGGAACGAACGAUCAACACUCAGAUCAUAUCUACUACGCUUGGAUCAUAUUCACUAUGGCUGGGUCCUAAACAGCACCCUAUUCUCUGUAUAGAGCCCUAUGGACCCUGGUCAACAGUAGUGCACUACCCUAUGGGCCCUGGUCAACAGUAGUGCACUACCCUAUUGGACCCAGGUCAACAGUAGUGCACUACCCUAUGGACCCAGGUCAACAGUAGUGCACUACCCUAUUGGACCCAGGUCAACAGUAGUGCACUACCUAUGACCCUGGUCAACAGUAGGCACUACCCUAUGGACCCUGGUCAACAGUAGUGCACUACCCUAUGGACCCUGGUCCAAAGUAGUGCACACCCUAUGGACCGUGGUCAACAGUAGUGCACUACCCUAUGGACCAGAUCAACAGUAGUGUACUACCCAAUGGGCCCUGGUCAACACUAGUGCACUACCCUAUUGGACCCUGGUCAACAGUAGUGCACUACCCUAUGGGACCCUGGUCAACAGUAGUGCACUACCCUAUUGGACCCUGGUCAACAGUAUUGCACUACCCUAUGGACCCUGGCAACAGUAGUGCAUACCCUAUUGGACCCUGGUCAACAGUAGUGCACUACCCUAUGGACCCUUUCCAAAGUAGUGCACUAUAAAGGGAACAGGCUGCCAUGUGGGAUGCAUCCUAUAUCAUGGUCAUACAGUCCAACAGGUUGUUGUGAUGACAGCAGUCCUGCAGGGAAACAGAACGGUUCUUCUGAUACCGGAUGACGUCUACCUUGGGUUCAUAUUCAACCCCUGGAUGACGCUCCCAACCCCCUGGAUGACGUCCCCAACCCCUGAUGAUGUCUACCAACCCCCUGGAUGAGUCUACCUUGGGUCAUAUUCAACCCUCUGAUGAUGUCUACCUGGGGUCAUAUUCCACCCCCUGGAUGAUGUCUAACUGGGUUCAUAUUCAACCUCUGGAUGAUGUCUACCAACCCCCUGGAUGAUGUCUCCUUGGGGUUCAUAUUCAACCCUGGAGAUUUCUACUUGGGUUCAUAUUCAAACCCCUGGAUGAUGUCUACCAACCCCUGGAUGAGGUCUACUUGGGUUCAUAUUCAACCCCCUGGAUGAUGUCUACCUGGGGUUCAAUUUCAACCCUCUGGAUGAUGUCUACCUUGGGGUUCAUAUUCAACCCCCUGGAUGAUGUUACCAACCCCUGGAUGAUGUACCGUGGGUUCAUAUUCAACCCCCUGGAUGAUGUCUACUGGGGUUCAUAUUCAACCCUCUGGAUGAUGUCUACCUUGGGUUCAUAUUCAACCCCUGGAUGAUGUCUACCUGGGUUCAAUUCACACCCUGGAGAUGUCUACCUGGGGUUCAUAUUCAACCCCUGGAUGAUGUCUACCACCCCCUGGAUGAUGCUACCUUGGGGUCAUAUUCACCCCCUGGAUGACAUCCCCUUGGAACAUAUUCAACCCCCUGGAU